UGCUAUCUGAAUAUAUGGAUAGUUAGCUCUGCCCAGUGAUUAAGUUUUAACGGCCGCAGUACACUGACUGUGCAAAGGUAGCAUAAUCAUUUGGCUUUUAAAUGAAGUCGGGUAUGAAUGAGUUAAUGGGGUUAAGCUGUCUCUAUUUCUUUACCUAGAAUUUGCUAAGAAAGUGAAAAUACUUUCGAUUAAAAUUAUUAGACGAGAAGACCCUAUAAAUUUUAACCAAGAAGUAUUUAACAACUUUAAGUUUUUGUUGGGGCAACAAGCUAACAGAAGUAAGUUUAAUCUAGCUAUAAAAAUUAGGUGUUUCGAGUUUUACUAGUAAAAAUUAAAUUACUUUAGGGAUAACAGCAUAAUUUUAUUAAUAAGAUUGUGACCUCGAUGUUGGACUAGGGACUAAUUAGAUCAAACAUUUAAUUAGAAGGUUCUGUUCGAACUGCUAUUACCU
rnacentral:rRNA from 1 species